rnacentral:rRNA from 1 species
GACGAACGCUGGCGGCGUGCUUAACACAUGCAAGUCGAACGGAAAGGCCCUGCUUUUGUGGGGUGCUCGAGUGGCGAACGGGUGAGUAACACGUGAGUAACCUGCCCUUGACUUUGGGAUAACUUCAGGAAACUGGGGCUAAUACCGGAUAGGAUCUCCUGCUGCAUGGUGGGGGUUGGAAAGUUUCGGCGGUUGGGGAUGGACUCGCGGCUUAUCAGCUUGUUGGUGGGGUAGUGGCUUACCAAGGCUUUGACGGGUAGCCGGCCUGAGAGGGUGACCGGCCACAUUGGGACUGAGAUACGGCCCAGACUCCUACGGGCGGCAGCAGUGGGGAAUAUUGCACAAUGGGCGGAAGCCUGAUGCAGCAACGCCGCGUGCGGGAUGACGGCCUUCGGGUUGUAAACCGCUUUCGCCUGUGACGAAGCGUGAGUGACGGUAAUGGGUAAAGAAGCACCGGCUAACUACGUG